rnacentral:rRNA from 1 species
GACGAACGCUGGCGGCGUGCCUAAUACAUGCAAGUAGAACGCUGAAGGAGGAGCUUGCUUCUCUGGAUGAGUUGCGAACGGGUGAGUAACGCGUAGGUAACCUGCCUGGUAGCGGGGGAUAACUAUUGGAAACGAUAGCUAAUACCGCAUAAGAGUAGAUGUUGCAUGACAUUUGCUUAAAAGGUGCAAUUGCAUCACUACCAGAUGGACCUGCGUUGUAUUAGCUAGUUGGUGGGGUAACGGCUCACCAAGGCGACGAUACAUAGCCGACCUGAGAGGGUGAUCGGCCACACUGGGACUGAGACACGGCCCAGACUCCUACGGGAGGCAGCAGUAGGGAAUCUUCGGCAAUGGACGGAAGUCUGACCGAGUAACGCCGCGUGAGUGAAGAAGGUUGUCGGAUCGUAAAGCUCUGUUGUAAGAGAAGAACGAGUGUGAGAGUGGAAAGUUCACACUGUGACGGUAUCUUACCAGAAAGGGACGGCUAACUACGUG